GGCACGAGCUCUAGUGGUUUACAGGGUAGGGGGGCUGGAGGCGCUGUGGCAAAGCAGUGUCGAUAAGAGAGAGAGAGAGCAAGAGAGAUAAAGAGAGAUUGAUGGAGAGAGCGGGAGAGUGAACAGCUCUAUGUAAACAGGGUGUCAGAAAAGAAAUUGCAGGGACAUUUUCAGCCUGCUAAGGCUGGGAAAAUAAUCACAUAGAAUCUGCAAAGCAGCACUCACUAGGGCAGAGAGAGAAAUAGAGAGAAGAGAGAGAGAGGGACGGAACUGAACAGAGAGAGUCGUUUUACAGUGAGAGAGACAGAGAGUGAGAGAGAGACAGAGAGAGAGGAAGCUAUAUAGCAACAGAGCGAAGGAGAGGAACUAAGCAAAAGGGAGAGAGAGGAAAAAAGCUUAAUUAAUUCAGGCUGAAUGGGAGGGAGGGAUGUUGCUACCUCUGCCGGGGCUCCAGUGCCUUUGCUGUGCCUCUCUGUGUAGCUGGAGCUGUGUUGUGUAGCUGUGGCUCUGCUCUUUGUAGCUGUAGCUGCCGGUUUGUGUUGUGAGGGGCUCGCUGCUCUGCUCACGGGGGAAGGGAGAGCAACUCAUGCCCCGGGCAGCUUGGAACGGACUGCCUAUCAACCCAUACUGAAGGAAGGAACACACACACAGACAGCAGAACUACUGGGAUGGGCAGAGGUCAUUAUAGGUUAUUGGUGCAGCAGACCUGCUAAGGGACCCUGUGUGGACUGACUGUGGGCUGUGGACAUAUCACUUCCUACCAGAGAUGAGGGGAACAGCUUGAGUCUGACGUCAGAGAGCGGGAAAGACCUAGAGACCUGCCUCUAGCUGGACCUCCAUAUCACAUACUGCCCGUCCUUAUCCCCCUUCCCCCACCCCACCAUCUCUGGCGUCUGUUUCUACCACCACCUCCACUCACUGGGAAGGAUUUGGGAUGACAGUUAACCUCCUCAGCUCUACCUCACUCCUCUUCACCACCCAGGGAUAACCAGCACUAGAACCUCUGUACCCUGAGAGGUACACUACCAUCCUCCCUCACCUCCCCCAGCUGGCAUCAUGAUGGGAGAUGGAGUUGGGAACUGGGAGUGUCUGAGUCCGUCUGAGUUUGGACAGCUGCAGCAGUACAGCGAGUGUGAGUACUAGCAAUACCUGUUGUACCCAUAGGUAAAUUGAGCUAAAAAUGCCAAUACCUUUGUCAGACCUGGGUCAAAUACUGCACAUUCAAACACUGAUCUUGAGUUAAUUUUCGCCAAAAGUGCAAACUAAAUCAAUGCAUUUGUCCCAGGUCGGAUACCUGUGAUACCCUUAGGUAACCAGCA
rnacentral:lncRNA from 1 species